GUCACUUGUACGGGUAAGCCUCUUGCCCGGACUUUCAGCCUGUGCGGCAGGUGCUCCAUCCCUCUCACGUUCAUCCAUCCUGGGAUCCUCCCGCUGCCGCCCCCUGCUUCUGCUCUUCUUCUCGUUUUGUAGGACGGGUGCCGUUUGAUUGAAAAGACUUCUCGUCACUAGAUGUUACAGCUGAUGUUCUACAAACACCUGCGUUACCGGAGGGGAAUGUAGCAAACCCAUCAAACAGGCCCGGCGGUUACGCCUACAGUCAACGUUACCGCCAACCUUUUUUUUUUAUUUUUAGUUUUUUUUAUUUUUUAGAAAGGUUAAAAAUAAGGGAGAAUCCCGGGAUAAAUGGGAGGGUGACAGGUAUGCCUCAAGACGACUUUGUGAAGGAAAAUGUUUGUGUUUUUUGACACCCUGUUGCUUGGAUUCAGAAAGAUCCUUCCACCUUCAUUCACAUCAGCUGUGGGCCACACAGGUGCACUUUAAGCCGGAAGUUAUUGUUUUUCUGUCCAUGAUGUAGCAUCUUGGUACCAGGACACAGGUCCCAAAGGGUUUACUCUGCUAAGAAGCCAGGGACAUCUGCUCCACUAAACCAAGGCUGCCAAGUGGAGAAAGAAGUAAAAGCAGAUUUGAUGGCUCAUGAGCAGUUGCCAGCGCUUAUCAAAGCGGGAAGAUGGCGAGAUGGAUGGAUAGAUGGAUGGACGUAUAAGAUGGAUGAGUUGAUGGGAUGGACGUGUGUGGGGGUGGGGAUGAUCAUCGGGCAUGUUUGGGUAAAAUUAGGGCGUGCUCCUCCUGUGUAUGUGGCAACAGAGGCAGAGGCAUGGAUGUAUGGGUGCUCAUGCAUGUUUGUAUGUGUGCGUGGGUGUAAGUGUGUGUGCCUCUGUGUGUUGCAGAGGUCCUGUCAGUGAACAGCAAUGAUUAAUGGGCUUCUGCCACAUGAAGGAGCCACAGACUAAACCCCACAGCCUUAACUGGAGCAUAGCAUACCUCACCUCUUCCGCCUCCUUUCCUCCUCCUCCUUUCCUCAUCCCUCCUCCUCGCCAUGGGCUUGUUUUCACACCUGCUUGCUGCUCUCAAAGCUAGGGAAGUGUUUUUUCUUUUUGAAAGCUGUGCAUCUGCAGCAUGGCAAAACUGGGCGGUACCACGGAGAAUUGACCGUUAAUGGAAGCGGAAGAAAAGGAAGCUUGGAAGUGCAACGGAGCAAAGUGUUCAAAUGUUUAUGUUUGACACAACAAAUUAAAAUGUGAGCUAAUCGAUGAUUGAUGAGCUCUUGUAUUCCCAAAACACUGACCAUCACAAUGUCACUAUUGCAUGUUUUGGGUGGAGUUUGGAGGAGGGCAAGGGUGUUUUAAAGGGUUUUAAUGUGGCCUCAGAGCUCCAGGUGUCCCACAGUUGGAAGGCCUUUGGGGUCAGUGUUUUGGAUGACUGCGGAUGUACUGAUGCUGCAGUGCCAUUUGGUUUCAGUUACUCUAGCUGGUCAACGGCAGUGUGUGGCAGGUGCCACAUAUGCCAGAGGAGGGGGAAGAUGACGACGGGUGGCCUGAGUCACUUUUGGGGCAGACGCACUGGCACUGUAAGGUGAAAACGUGUGUGUCUGGAUGUCUGUGUGCUCACUGGACACAUGUGAUUGAUGAACAUUUGGUUGAACGUAGACAGGCAUGGCAGAGUGUGACAGAUUAACACUGUAGACCCCUUUCUCUCAGUAUUGUGUGCGCGCGCACACACACACGCACGCACGCACGCACGCACGCACACACACACAUACACAAUGUGGAAAGUCAUGCCAGAGGGGCACCUGUCUUUUCUGUUUCACCAAGGCAGCUCUGAUGAUGUGUCAGCUGCUGCUAUUAAUUUAUAUACAGUCUAAUCAGGAAGCAGUGAGACAGCAGUUCAUGUUCACCCCGGGCUUGGGCCAGAUGAGGGCCAACCGACUGAAUCAUCAUAUGGACCCUGUGCACAAGGAUUCAUUAGCCAGAUGUUAACCAACAUGGAGCAGAGGCACAAUGGCUCUCACCCGACUGUACUUGAGGGAUAUUAAAUCCUCACAUCUGUCUUCAGAAAUGCCACUCAGGUACACACAGUUUAAGUUUCUCUAUAUAAUAGGUGUGUUUGGAGUUGCUUUUAUUUUGGUCAGUAAUUUAAGCGUUUUUGCCUUGCACAAUUAUCACUCUGUAUUAAGUUCAAUUCCAUAAUUUGCUGUAACUGUUAUUUUACUGCCUUACAUUUAAGUCAAUGGGCAAUUGACCAAACACACAUGUAAAACACAUACUUUAUGUAUUUCAGUAGUGUUUUUUCCAGUUGCCAACAACAUCCUCAAUGAUGCUAAAUGUCCUUUUGUUCAAAAUGUAAUCAUCCCAUCAUGCUCUGCUCUUCAUCUGUGACCAGAGAUGUGCAUACAAAGGACAAAGAUUUUUUUUAUAUUUCUAUGGGUCUUCUUACGUGUCAGCAGUGUAUUCAGAUUUAACAAGCUACCCAUCCUUGAUCUCUUCCAAUCUGCUGAGAUUUUUCUUUUCAAUUGCCUAUAAUACUGCAUUUUACAAGUUAUUAUCAUUGUUAUUUUGCACAAGCAGAUUAAAUUCAUUAAACAAUCCACUUUAGAACGGACAUACCAUAAAAGAGCCAAGUUAAGGUCAUAGGAGGGACAUGGUCAGUGUUAUGCAGCUCAGGCAUGUUUGUGUUCAUUUGUCUGAAGGAUGCUAGAUCCUAUGUUUUCCUGUGAUAAAGGUUCAAGACCUUCAGAAGCUUAAAAUCUUAUGCUCACACAGAAAUUGGAAAAGAACACAAAUUGCCAUGAUUGUCUUUGAUAGACUAUUCAUGGGCAUAAAUUUUAAAGCAUUAAAUGUUUCAAUUAGAUGUUUAUUUAGAAUUUUGUCUUCAUCUUUACUUUAUUCUUGAUUUUAUUACUUUAUUUGUUACUUUAUUUUUAUUUAAUUUCACUACCAUGUUCCUUGCCUCUAGUCUACUUUGUAAUGCUAUAAACAGUAUCCACAUAUGAGCUAUAAACUUUGGGAAUCUCAUUCCCAGACAGCUCGACACAAGAAAAACCUGGCAGCCUCACAGAUGUGGAUUGACAGCUAAUUUCAAUAAUCUGAAUGUGCUGCCCAGAGUUAAAACCAAACAGCAUAAGUCUCAAUACGAAUUACUUUCCCUACCGACCUUUGACUUAACUUUUGAACUCCACUGUGAAUCCAGUCCUUUGUCUGAAUGUGUGUGUGCUUGUUUAUAGUUUCCACAUACGUGUGUCCACAUUUCCCCGUUUCUCUGCACGUUUCUAUAACUGCUUGUCAGUAUCCCUCCCUCCAGUUCAGAGUGUUGAGGCCCGGCUUUGUGAGCACAGCUGAUAAGGACACACAGAAGGGAAAGGACUUCAGCUCCUUGCACGCACGCAAACAGAUUCUCUCCUUCGUAUCCACUUAGUUAAGUUUCUGUAUUGAAUCAGCUUCUGCAUAACUGAUGUUAUUGGUUGGUAGUGUGGAAGUCAGCCUAUGCAAAAUGUGUCCAACAGGGCAAAUGAAAGUCGACAGCGGCAGAUCUUCUCCCCUCUUAGCCUACAAAUGGAGAGGGAUUUAAAUUUCAGAGAAGAUGCUGAAAAGAAACCUCAAAGGCAAGCUAAGAUAGAUGAUAUAGGGAAAGAGGACUAUUACGUGAUGUCACAGUAAAAUUUCACACAUAAUUUAACCCAAGCAGGUUACAUUAUGGUAACCAAAGUUCACCAACACAACACAUGCGCUCUUCUACGGAUAUGGCGUCCAUCUCUACUCCACACUCACACUUAUAGAAAAUGAGCUCAUGGGUUGGAGCUCCACUGGCACACUGUACAUGCCAUUCCUAUCCUCUGAUGGAGUGAGCUUUUUUGAGGGUGGGUGGGCUCAUAAUCACUGUGCUCCUCUGCCUGCUUGUUAUCCACUCUCACCGCUACCACUGACAAGCACAAUCCCACCUGGGGUCUGCCAGUCCUGAGGCAUUAGAGAGAAAGAAGGAGCAGUUUGGGCAAAAUGCUUGACACGAAAAGAGAUAAACAGCAAGGGGAGAGAAAUAAAGACUGGCCAGGAACUUUUGAGGUAAUGGGUAGUGAGAGAGAGGAAAGGGGAUGAGAAUUUAAUUUGGAGAUACAAGCGUCAUAUGGCUAUUCCUGGGUAGUGACAGUGAACAGCGAUGGUUGCCUGCAGGCUGGGCCUCUCUUAUCUCCAGUGCAGUGUACUCUCCAGUGAUAAUGACCUCUCAUUACAGAGCUGUAGCCCUGGGGAGACUUUGGAUAAGUUACCAGCUCUAGUCACCACAUCUCAGAAGGCUAUCCCUUUAUCCCUCAUCACACAGUGGGAAAGUGGGCGAUGAGAGGUCCAUUCCCAUUCGUACACACAUAUUUGCUUGCUUACGCACAGAUAUUCACAAUUGGACAUGAGUGCACAUGGGCAACCGAAACAGGAACAGACACUCCACCAAGACAAAUAUUAACACAGACACAAAAACACACAAACAUGCAUGCAUUUUUAUUGGACGCCUGAGUGUCUGGUGCAGAGCAGCCAGGAACAGCUGUGUGUCGAGUCCAGCCCGAGUCCUCUCCAAGUAUCAGCAGAGAGACAGACAGUGCCCCCUGCUUAGCCCCAUAAUCUGGCAUAACGCCUUUACUGUAACUCUAGCUCUCAUGUACAGUGAUGGACACACAGCCAAUUCCCAUCCAGUCCCAUCCUCUGCUCCCUCCCAUCUGGCAAGAACUUCCACCUUACUAAUAGUUAACACAUUUCAUUCAUACCAAAUACCAUAAUUCCUCCCAUAGACGAAUGUAUCUGCAAUGUGACUGAACCCUUGCACCACCUGCUGACAGGGACUAAAGGCACCUGUUGUCAUAUCCAUAAGAUUGGCAUUGGCAAUGACACACACACACACAGAAAGUUCCUAAUAUCAAGUACAGAUCAGCACAAGAGGAGGUAAUGCUUUUUAAAAGAUCUUCAUGCGCACACAGAAAAUAAUAUACACUACAAUAUAUGACACUGAAGGUUCAAUAAGCAUAAUCCAAAUAUGUAAAACAGAUGUCUUCGGUGCUAAACAAAUGCAUGUUUAUCGAGAUGAUGUGUGCAUGUGCUUUGAAACCUUGCUCAGUCCUCAAAUGGAAAAGGUUGUCUCCUGGUCAGCAGUUAUCAAUUUCAGAAAUGUGAGCCCGAUGCCCAGUGUUUUUCCAGGCAGCAUCCGCAGAACCGCACCUGUCCCACGCAGCAAGCAACAUCAGCGCCUCCCUCCCCACCACCAAGCUGUCCCACUGAGAUAAGCUGGCUGGCAUUUUCAUCAUUCCGGCCAUACUGAUUGGACCAUUAUCAUAAGAAAGCGGCUGAGAAUCCAGGAGGCCUUCCCCCUGGACACUGAUUCAUGUUCAAAGUUAGGAUUAGCAAUCUUGCCCCUCGAAUCCCCUCAAACAAGGCAAGGCUGAGCAGGCAAAUGAAGCAAGCAUUCAACAGAUAAUGAAGAAGACUCUCAUGGCUCAGUGGACGUAUGGACGUAUGGAGUGUGAAUGAAUCCUUAGCAACAAAACCUCAGAGAAAGCAAGAGUAAAACUUGUCAUUCAAACUUUCCUAAAAUGCUGCAUUUACACUGUUUUUUUCUUUUCUUCAAUUUAGAAAUUAUUUAUAUUUUUGUUUAUUUGUGUAUGACACUCCAGCCAUGAUUUUUAGAGGCAAAAUUUUAACCUUACUCACUUUAGAUGUGUGAGAAUCACACUAAUUUCUGUGCCAAAUAUAAUUUAGGGCUAGCACUGUAUUUCCUUUGUAAUGCAAAUAUAAACCGGGGCAAAAACUGGAAAAGAAACAUUUCCACACUACUUCAAUUUUUCCAAAAAAUUCAAGCAUUUGUGGUUUCAGCAAACAUUUCAGAAGCUUUUUACAAAAUCUGUUGGGACCUACAGUGGUUACUGGCUUCAUGUGGCCCACUUGCUCCAGAAUGAAUAAUGGCUUUCUGUGGUUUUAGUACUGUAGCUGCUGGCAGGGAGGCACUUCAGGUCACCUGCAUUUUAAUUCUAUUACCAUCAUAUCUUGAUUUGUAUUGUUUUAAAUGGGAAUAUGAAAAUAUAAGGCUACUGUAGCAGGGCUGUUAUAAUCCUUAAGAUUUUCAGGAUACCAAACCCCAUUUUUCAUGUAAUUUAUGGCUGACAUUUUUUGCAGCAGUAGUCAUUCAAGGUAUUUGUAUUCUGUAAUUGCUUUUUUAUAUAGAAGAUGUCAUUGUUAAUGGCCACCUUUACCGGUGGUGUUGAAAUUGCAUUGCAAUUGGUUUCACAGGUGCAGGCACGUACUGGAUGUCAUGCAAAAGACUCAUUAAUUCAGUAUAAUCGUGUCGGAUGACAUUGUUGGUUGUCAUUUCUUAUUACAACGUGACACAAUGAAUUAUCUUUAUGUAGCUGCGCUGUAAACAGAUGCAUGACUUGCUUUUUUUCUUUGCAUUCCUUACACCGUAGCUGCACGGUUUGCUGCCCCCAGUGGUCAAUACAUGUGUCAUUUCAAACAAACGCCAGGACCUGUACUAUUAAAACAAACUUGCUGUUACAACCAGUAAACACAGGGAUUGCCUAAUAAAAAGUGCCUAUGCUGGAUGGAUGAAUAAAAAAUGGAAAAGAGUGAACAAGGGAGGAAAAGUGGUAUGUGAGGAUGUGGCGAUAUGUGGACGACUUGACUUCUUUUGCGUCCUCUUAUUUAUGUCUCUUACUUUACAACACUUUCUUCAGCCCCAACUCUCUCUUUUCCCCAAACUCAUCAUAAAGCUUUAGAGACGUUUAGUGCUGCCUUCCUGCCAUGUGCCACUCCAGUAAAACUGCAGCAUUAACAGUUUUACAGUGAGACAAACCUUAUCAUUCUCUACCAGUGUUCCUUAUAGACUCCCUGUCUGUGCCGAUUACAGAAGUGAACAACCGCUGAGCUGCAAGUCACAGACCCAAGGGCAUGUUUGCACUGUUACUCGUUCCGUUUUAAUUUUAAGAAUUAUCAAAUAGAUCCAAAAUAAUGAGAAAAAUUACAUACAGUGUAGCAGUUACCUGGCAAACAGCUAUACAUAAAUGCAGACUUUGAAGUGUGUUUUUACAUUUUCACAUCUCUUAAAAAAGGAGGAGUCAGCUUUCAAGUUGUCUCUUUAUUUAGUCAUCUGACAUGUGAUCACUGUCUCUAAAUCUGUUUGGGAAAAAAGCAGAGGGCUCUAAAAAGUCUGCAAAGGCUUGUGGGAGAGUAUAGUGACUUAUCUUCAGAGGAUAGAAUAGCUCGCACGAAAAGCAUGUCUCUUUUGAUCUGCUGUAAAUAUGUCUCAUGUGAGAUGUACGCUCUAUAUCUGUAUUUCCAUUGUUGUAGAAUAAGUAGUUUGUUUUGAAAUGCAAAUAGGAUAAUUCCUAGCAAAUGCCAGUAACAUUAUCUUCUAAGGAAGGAGCAAUGGGUUUGAGGAUAACUAGGCCUCUUACAAUCAGUACUCGCCUCCUCUUCCAUGCUGACAUGAAAAGACUGUGAUAUCAAAUGAGCACAAAGCAUGGCCCUCUCCAGGUAGCUAAAUGAUAGAUUAUUUAAAUUCCAGCCCAUAACUCACACGCAAGAGGUUAGAAAUCUGAGAACAUUGUAAUUACACUCUCACCGGGGGAGCUUUGGCUCAUCAGCACCCACAGCUCUGAGGUUCAAAGUGAAACGAUCCUUAGACCAGGUUAAUAAAAGGACAAACGCUGUGAAUUCCAUAUAGCCGAAUGACUUUCUGUUCCCCUUGAGUUUAAAGAAACAUUUCACCGCAGCAUUAUAAUUUUUGUAUUAAUUACUCAACCUCAUAGCAUAUAAUACAGGAUGAAAAUGCAUUCCCACUUGUAGGUCCUCAGGGAGAAUAGAACUUCUGAAAGUAGUAGCAUGUGAUGUGCCACAGUAAAAGUGACUGGAGACUAAUUUUAACAACUGCAAAAUUAUAUGUUAAUGAGUAGUUUGACAUUAUGAUAAUUAAAGGCACUACCAUGUACUUUCCCAAAAAAUACAACAAAAGAAACAACUUCCUCAAAUUUGUUACAUACUCAGUAUCAACAUUAGUUUGAAUAUAAAAGUGAGUUAUCCAAGUCGAGGGUCUAAGGAUGGAGGGUGUCGUAUGCUGUACAGAUCAUAAAGUCCCUUGAAGAAGAUUUGUGAUAUUGGGCUAUAUAAAUAUUGAAAAAUAAAAUUGACUUGUCGUACAAGUGGAUUGCAUGUAUGUAUGGACCUUUUAAUAUUGUUUUUCUGUUGUUAAAGCUGUUUUUUCUUCCUGGAUGGAUGAAAGCGGAAAUCGGUAAAAUGAUUUUGUACUAAAGCAGAUGUGGCAUUGUUGUCACUGGACCAGUGUGUCAUACUGACUUGCAAUAGCACAGAUAUCCAUAACUGCAGAAGACUGCAAAUCCAAGUGUACACAAUUUAAACAAUACAAAAGUGUUUGCAGAUCAACAUUUGGUUUGUCAUAAAAGGUAGCAAAAGAGAAGAAGACCCAAAGCCAAUGUAAACAACACAGGUUUCAAAACAUAAAAACAAACAAACACAUAGUGUUUUUUGAUGAGAAAUGUUGAAUGUAAACAAAACCUUUUAGUGAAAACUCCGCAGGGUACCUUUUCAAUUUUUCAAUUUCCAGCAUCACACAGGGUUGCGAGGGUCAAAGCCAUUAAUCAUGAGUUAGAAGACCUCACCACAGAAAAUGAUUUAAUUUGAGAUUUUCAUUCCGCAUCUGCAAAACCACUAAGAGAAACCAGAAUUACAAUAUUGAUUCCUGAGUUAUUAGCACAUAAUCAACAGUAUAAUUACUCUGUUUCGUUUUUGCCACCGCAACACUCCGAAUCUCAGCUGAGAAAAUCCUGGUAUUAUUCAGAAUAAAAUGCUAAUUAAUUACAUUAAGCAAUGCAGCGACUUGCUGCAUGGAAGUAAUUAAAGCCAGAGCAGCAUAUAUGAUUAACAUUCAGUAGAUGAAAAUGACUAUGAUUAUUCCCACUGAUGUUGAGUUCAUUAAAAACCAUGUAAUCCAAAGGGGAUAUCAAUAUGCGGUGAUAUUGCAAAUGCAAAUGAAAUAAGGGAAUGUGCUCAAUUAUAACUGAACACAUAAAAAAUGAUUGUGAGUAAAGCUUAUACUUAGUGUACAAGCAGUCAUUUACACAAAUAACAUUUAAA